ensembl:lncRNA
GGUAGGGGUUAAGGAAGGGGACUAGUUUGAGGAAGGGGACUAGUUUGUAGGAGGGUAGGGGUUAAGGAAGGGGACUAGUUUGUGGGAGGGUAGGGGUUAAGGAAGGGGACUAGUUUGUAGGAGGGUAGGGGUUAAGGAAGGGGACUAGUUUGUAGGAGGUAGGGGUUAAGGAAGGGGACUAGUUUGUAGGAGGGUAGGGGUUAAGGAAGGGGACUAGUUUGUAGGAGGGUAGGGGUUAAGGAAGGGGACUAGUUUGUAGGAGGGUAGGGGUUAAGGAAGGGGACUAGUUUGUAGGAGGGUAGGGGUUAAGGAAGGGGACUAGUUUGUAGGAGGGUAGGGGUUAAGGAAGGGGACUAGUUUGUGGGAGGGUAGGGGUUAAGGAAGGGGACUAGUUUGAGGAAGGGGACUAGUUUGAGGAAGGGGACUAGUUUGAGGAAGGGGACUAGUUUGUGGGAGGGUAGGGGUUAAGGAAGGGGACUAGUUUGAGGAAGGGGACUAGUUUGAGGAAGGGGACUAGUUUGAGGAAGGGGACUAGUUUGUAGGAGGGUAGGGUUAAGGAAGGGGAAUAGUUUGUGGGAGGGUAGGGGUUAAGGAAGGGGACUAGUGUGUAGGAGGGUAGGGGUUAAGGAAGGGGACUAGUUUGUAGGAGGGUAGGGGUUAAGGAAGGGGACUAGUUUGUGGGAGGGUAGGGGUUAAGGAAGGGGACUAGUUUGAGGAAGGGAACUAGUUUGAGGAAGGGGACUAGUUUGAGGAAGGGGACUAGUUUGUAGGAGGGUAGGGGUUAAGGAAGGGGACUAGUUUGUGGGAGGGUAGGGGUUAAGGAAGGGGACUAGUUUGUAGGAGGGUAGGGGGUUAAGGAAGGGGACUAGUUUGUGGGAGGGUAGGGGUUAAGGAAGGGGACUAGUUUGUAGGAGGGUAGGGGUUAAGGAAGGGGACUAGUGUGUAGGAGGGUAGGGGUUAAGGAAGGGGACUAGUGUGUAGUAGGGUAGGGGUUAAGGAAGGGGACUAGUCUGUGGGAGGGUAGGGGUUAAGGAAGGGGACUAGUUUGUAGGAGAGUAGGGAGUAGGGAAGGGGACUAGUUUGUAGGAGAGGAAGGGGACUAGUGUGUAGUAGGGCAGGGGUUAAGGAAGGGGACUAGUUUGUGGGAGGGUAGGGGUUAAGGAAGGGGACUAGUUUGUGGGAGGGUAGGGGUUAAGGAAGGGGACUAGUUUGUUGUAGGGUAGGGGUUAAGGAAGGGGACUAGUUUGUAGUAGGGUAUGGGUUAAGGAAGGGGACUAGUUUGUAGUAGGGUAGAGGGUUAAGGAAGGGGACUAGUUUGUUGUAGGGUAGGGUAGGGGUUAAGGAAGGGGACUAGUUUGUUGUAGGGGUUAAGGAAGGGGACUAGUUUGUAGUAGGGUAGGGGUUAAGGAAGGGGACUAGUUUGUGGGAGGGUAGGGGUUAAGGAAGGGGACUAGUUUGUUGUAGGGGUUAAGGAAGGGGACUAGUUUGUGGGAGGGUAGGGGUUAAGGAAGGGGACUAGUUUGUUGUAGGGUAGGGGGUUAAGGAAGGGGACUAGUUUGUAGUAGGGUAGGGGUUAAGGAAGGGGACUAGUUUGUGGGAGGGUAGGGGUUAAGGAAGGGGACUAGUUUGUGGGAGGUUAGGGGUUAAGGAAGGGGACUAGUUUGUGGGAGGUUAGGGGUUAAGGAAGGGGACUAGUUUGUAGUAGGGUAGGGGUUAAGGAAGGGGACUAGUCUGCAGGAGGGUAGGGGUUAAGGAAGGGGACUAGUUUGUAGGGGUUAGGGAAGUGGACUAGUGUGUAGGAGGGCAGGGGUUAAGGAAGGGGACUAGUUUGUGGGAGGUUAGGGGUUAAGGAAGGGGACUAGUUUGUGGGAGGUUAGGGGUUAAGGAAGGGGACUAGUUUGUAGUAGGGUAGGGGUUAAGGAAGGGACUAGUCUGCAGGAGGGUAGGGGUUAAGGAAGGGGACUAGUUUGUAGUAGGGUAGGGGUUAAGGAAGGGGACUAGUCUGCAGGAGGGUAGCGGUUAAGGAAGGGGACUAGUUUGUAGGGGUUAGGGAAGUGGACUAGUGUGUAGGAGGGUAUGGGACCCGGCUAGCACCUGAGUGGAAUAUAAAGACAGUACGGUCAACUCUUUACAUGUGCUCCUCUGAUCCUACUGAUGGACUUCCAGACUCAGUAUCCCAGAAGCACUACUGCUGCUCACCACGAUUGAGGAGCUGUCCUGUAGUUUAUGAAGGCAGUAGGGUAGAGUUGCACCCUUUCCCUUUGUCUAAUGUUUUUACAGGUUGAAAUGUCUCGCUUUGGCCAAACUCUGCUUCUCUCAGUCUCUGGCUAGCUAGCCAGGCUACUGUUUCUGUAUAGGACCAGGCUAGGAGAGUUAGCAUGACUACUGUCUCUGUAUAGGACCAGGCUAGGAGAGUUAGCAUGACUACUGUCUCUGUAUAGGACCAGGCUAGGAGAGUUAGCAUGACUACUGUCUCUGUAUAGGACCAGGCUAGGAGAGUUAGCAUGACUACUGUUUCUGUAUAGGACCAGGCUAGGAGAGUUAGCAUGACUACUGUUUCUGUAUAGGACCAGGCUAGGAGAGUUAGCAUGACUACUGUUUCUGUAUAGGACCAGGCUAGGAGAGUUAGCAUGACUACUGUCUCUGUAUAGGACCAGGCUAGGAGAGUUAGCAUGACUACUGUUUCUGUAUAGGACCAGGCUAGGAGAGUUAGCAUGACUACUGUUUCUGUAUAGGACCAGGCUAGGAGAGUUAGCA